ensembl:lncRNA
UAGAAACUUGUGUUCAAAUGAGAUAUUGUGAGAUGGCUUGUUUUUGCACUGAUGUACAAAUGAUGUGUGUGUUUUAAAAUCCUUUAAUUAGACAUGUGCAAGCAUCAGCUAGAUGAUGGUUCUAAUGCAGCAAUGGAUGAGGAAUGCAUGAGGAAGCAAAAGAAAAAGGCAAAAGACACAAGAAAAAGAAACAUACAGGCUGAAAAAAGGAAAUACAACGAGGUAAAAAGAUUGGAAAUGGACCGGGACACAACGGAGAAAGAGAAAGAGAAGAUGGUUGAAGAAAAAAAGAAAGCCGAGCUGAUUAGGAGACUGGAGGAGGAGAGACUGAAGGCUUUGGCACAAGUGACAGAAACAGACAAGGCAAAGGAACAGAAGGAUGGUGAUAUGAAGGCAGACAUAUUGAGGGUGGAAGAACAAGGGAAGAGAGUUCAAGAAAACAGCCAGAAGCAUAAGACAAAACAGGAGCAAGAGACAAUGAAGUUAAAUAUGGGCAGAGAAAGAAUGGAAGAAGAGAUAAAGAUGAUGGAGGAGCAAGAAAAGAAAUGGGUGGAAGAGGAAAUAAGAAAGGGAGAGAUGAUCAUAAUGGAGAAGCAAAGAGAGGACGAAAGAAAGGAAGAGGCAGUGAGGUUGGAGAUGAACAGAGAGAGAAUGGAGGAAGAGAUAAAGAAGAUGGAUGCAGAACAUGAUAAAGCCAAUAUGUCAAGGAGACUGGAAGAGAAGAGUAUGAGUGCUCUGGAAGAAGAAGAAGAGAGGAGGAGGAGGGUAAAGAAGGAAGUUGAGACAGAGAUGGUGAAAGGACAUCCCUCCCCUGCAGAAAAGUUAGAGUCUGAUGAUAAAGUCUUGAGAGAUCCUGCAGAAUGUGAAAAAGAAGGAAAGAAAGGCAGGAAUAAAGGCAAGAAGAUCCUGACGGAGGACAAAGGUAUGUGUGCGUUUAACAGAUAUGUAC